rnacentral:rRNA from 1 species
UAACGUAGGGGGCUAGAGCGUUGUCCGGAUUUGAUUUGGCGUAAAGAGCGUGUAGGCGGCCGGGUAAGUCCGGUGUGAAAACUCGAGGCUUAACCUCGAGAUGUCAUCGGAAACUAUUCGGCUUAGAGUCCGGAAGAGGAGAGUGGAAUUCCGUGGUGUAGCGGUGAAAUGCGCAGAUAUCAGGAAGAACACCUAUGGCGAAAGCAGCUCUCUGGGACGGUACUGACGCUGAGACGCGAAAGCGUGGGGAGCGAACAGG